AAAUAAUGACGCAGUUUUCUUAAAGGGCCAGCAACACGUUGCUUCAGAUGCAAGUUCUGGAGAAAAAGUUUGUAGAGAAUGAUAGUUUUUUUUUAAAAAAUUACUCCAAAUAUGAAAUUCAACGCAGUCCGACUUUUACAUUUUCGGAAUAUUAUUUUGAAACAGCAUUUCCUGGAACAAACCUUUUAUUCCCAUUGUAUGCUUUCAGCCAUGCUCCUUGUCCUUCCCUCAUUAAUUAGGAUAAUUUAGGGCACCUGCUAGCAUUGAUUUAAAUAAACUGAAAGCAGGUGCAACAUUGAAAUCUAGAGAUUACAGGGCAUCAAAUAACGUUAUAGUCAUGGAUUCGAACACAGAAGGCACCCUGGCCCUGCAGACAGAUGAGGCCAUGGCACUGGACAAACAGGCCCAGGAGGAUGUCAGCGACAGACUGGUGACCCUGUCUGAUAAGCUUAACAUAUGCAACCAACUCCUGAAGGACCUCAAAGAACUAAGCGACAUCCUAGUGAGGAAAUCUCUCCAGGAUGUGACCCUACCUCAGCAGGAGUGACCUGAAGUGAAACGCUAUUUUCUUUUUAAUAAUAAAUAAAUAAAACCAUCAA